rnacentral:piRNA from 1 species
UAAUAAAAGUUCUGCAUCACAAGUCGUGU